UAAGCAACAGCAGGAGGCAAACAGUGCUUACCUGUUGCAGUGUGCUUCUUCUGCUGCGGCCGCCGCCACCAGGGACCGUCGCUAAUGCUGCCAGGCACCCUUGCCCCCCCAUCGGAUAAGUUGGUGUUCUAACAGUGCCUGAUCCCUUCAGCUCACCACUUCCCGGUUUCCUCUCAACACAAGGAAGUGCCCAGUCUGCCAAUUACUGGCACAUGAAGUGCUAUCCUAUAGGUAGUCUUUCAGGAAAUGGCUCCCAGUCGUCAAGAAUAGGAUCAGAGUAUAGCCCAUGCAGCAAAAGUAAAGCCUAGUGAUCUGCAUCUAAUAUACUCAGCUGCCUAUUGACUGGAUAGUCAGAAGAAUUAAAGAGUCAGCAGAGCUGGGACAGAACUAACAAUGAAAGGCACAGGAUCUUCCAUAAAAGUGACUGCCACCGGUGACAGCGACAGCCACAGGACUGCAAGUAACAACACCAGCUGUAGGAACACCAGUAAUAUCCGAAAGACAGCAGUAACAGUCAU